rnacentral:rRNA from 1 species
CCUACGGGAGGCAGCAGUAGGGAAUCUUCCACAAUGGACGAAAGUCUGAUGGAGCAACGCCGCGUGAGCGAUGAAGGCCUUCGGGUCGUAAAGCUCUGUUGUUAGGGAAGAACAAGUACCGGAGUAACUGCCGGUACCUUGACGGUACCUAACCAGAAAGCCACGGCUAACUACGUGCCAGCAGCCGCGGUAAUACGUAGGUGGCAAGCGUUGUCCGGAAUUAUUGGGCGUAAAGCGCGCGCAGGCGGUCCUUUAAGUCUGAUGUGAAAGCCCACGGCUCAACCGUGGAGGGUCAUUGGAAACUGGGGGACUUGAGUACAGAAGAGGAAAGCGGAAUUCCACGUGUAGCGGUGAAAUGCGUAGAGAUGUGGAGGAACACCAGUGGCGAAGGCGGCUUUCUGGUCUGUAACUGACGCUGAGGCGCGAAAGCGUGGGGAGCAAACAGGAUUAGAUACCCUGGUAGUCCACGCCGUAAACGAUGAGUGCUAAGUGUUAGGGGGUUUCCGCCCCUUAGUGCUGCAGCUAACGCAUUAAGCACUCCGCCUGGGGAGUACGGCCGCAAGGCUGAAACUCAAAGGAAUUGACGG